rnacentral:rRNA from 1 species
GAUGAACGCUGGCGGCGUGCUUAACACAUGCAAGUCGAACGAAGCGCUUUUAUUUGAAUUCUUCGGAAUGAAGAUUUUAGUGACUGAGUGGCGGACGGGUGAGUAACGCGUGGGUAACCUGCCUCAUACAGGGGGAUAACAGUUAGAAAUGACUGCUAAUACCGCAUAAGACCACAGUACCCAAUGGUACGGGGGGAAAAACUCCGGGGGUAUGAGAUGGACCCGCGUCUGAUUAGGUAGUUGGUGGGGUAACGGCCUACCAAGCAGACGAUCAGUAGCCGACCUGAGAGGGUGACCGGCCACAUUGGGACUGAGACACGGCCCAAACUCCUACGGGAGGCAGCAGUGGGGAAUAUUGCACAAUGGGGGAAACCCUGAUGCAGCGACGCCGCGUGAGCGAUGAAGUAUUUCGGUAUGUAAAGCUCUAUCAGCAGGGAAGAAAAUGACGGUACCUGACUAAGAAGCACCGGCUAAAUACGUGCCAGCCGCCGCGGUAAGAC